UACGAAGGGGGCUAGCGUUGUUCGGAUUUACUGGGCGUAAAGCGCACGUAGGCGGAUCGAUCAGUCAGGGGUGAAAUCCCAGAGCUCAACUCUGGAACUGCCUUUGAUACUGGCAAUCUCGAGUCCGGGAGAGGUGAGUGGAACUGCGAGUGUAGAGGUGAAAUUCGUAGAUAUUCGCAAGAACACCAGUGGCGAAGGCGGCUCACUGGCCCGGUACUGACGCUGAGGUGCGAAAGCGUGGGGAGCAAACAGG
rnacentral:rRNA from 1 species